rnacentral:rRNA from 1 species
UACGUAGGUGACCAGCGUUGUCCGGAUUUACUGGGCGUAAAGAGCGCGCAGGCGGUCGUUCAAGUCGAGGGUGAAAGCCCCCGGCUCAACUGGGGAGGGUCACUCGAUACUGAUCGACUUGAAGGCAGGAGAGGGAAGCGGAAUUCCCGGUGUAGUGGUGAAAUGCGUAGAUAUCGGGAGGAACACCAGUGGCGGAGGCGGCUUCCUGGCCUGUUCUUGACGCUGAGGCGCGAAAGCUAGGGGAGCAAACGGG